CUUCGCCGUAGAGGCGCAAUAGUCAUCAGUAUUUAUGGUUGGAGUGAUGUCAAUGAACCAUAAAAAAAGGGGCGAUUGCCGAAGCGACUGUUUUUCAUCAAAUACAUUCGCUGGGGUUGUAUUGAAUAAGUACAACACUGCCAUAGUCUAUUGUGUUGUUAAACUAUGGAGCGCUACUGUAGGG
rnacentral:ncRNA from 2 species